AUUGAACGCUGGCGGCAGGCCUAACACAUGCAAGUCGAACGGUAGCACAGAGAGCUUGCUCUCGGGUGACGAGUGGCGGACGGGUGAGUAACGUCUGGGAAACUGCCCGAUGGAGGGGGAUAACUACUGGAAACGGUAGCUAAUACCGCAUAACGUCGCAAGACCAAAGUGGGGGACCUUCGGGCCUCACACCAUCGGAUGUGCCCAGAUGGGAUUAGCUAGUAGGUGGGGUAAUGGCUCACCUAGGCGACGAUCCCUAGCUGGUCUGAGAGGAUGACCAGCCAACCUGGAACUGAGACACGGUCCAGACUCCUACGGGAGGCAGCAGUGGGGAAUAUUGCACAAUGGGCGCAAGCCUGAUGCAGCCAUGCCGCGUGUAUGAAGAAGGCCUUCGGGUUGUAAAGUACUUUCAGCGGGGAGGAAGGCGGUGAAGUUAAUAACUUCACCGAUUGACGUUACCCGCAGAAGAAGCACCGGCUAACUCCGUGCCAGCCGCCGCGGUAA
rnacentral:rRNA from 1 species